rnacentral:rRNA from 1 species
AUUGAACGCUGGCGGCAGGCUUAACACAUGCAAGUCGAGCGAGCGGCGGACGGGUGAGCAAUGUCUGGACACCUGCCUGACGGAGGGGGAUAACUACUGGAACCGGUAGCUAAUACCGCAUACCAUCAGAUGUGCCCAGAGGGGAUUAGCUAGUAGGUGUGGUAAGGGCUCAUCUAGGCGACGAUCCCUAGCGGGUCUGAGAGGAUGACCAGCCACACUGGAACUGAGACACGGUCCAGACUCCUACGGGAGGCAGCAGUGGGGAAUAUUGCACAAUGGCCGCAAGCCUGAUGCAGCCAUGCCGCGUGUGUGAAGAAGGCCUUCGGGUUGUAAAGCACUUUCGGCGGGGAGGCGUUACUCGCAGAAGAAGCACCGGCUAACUCCGUGCCAGCAGCCGCGGUAAUAC